GUCGCUUUUAUUGGGCCUAAAACGUCCGUAGCCGGUCUGAUACAUUCGUGGGUAAAUCAACCAGCUCAACUGGUUGAAUUCUGCGAGGACGGUCAGACUUGGGACCGGGAGAGGUGUGGGGUACGCUCAGGGUAGGGGUAAAAUCCUGUCAUCCUGAGCGGACCACCUGUUGCGAAGGCGCCACACUAGAACGGAUCCGACGGUCAGGGACGAAGCCUAGGGGCACGAACCGGAUUAGAUACCCGGGUAGUCCUAGGUGUAAACGCUGUGGACUUGAUGUUGGGGGUGCUCCGAGCACUCUCAGUGUCGAAGCGAAGGUGAUAAGUCCACUGCCUGGGAAGUACGGUCGCAGGCGAAACUCAAAGGAAUUGACGG
rnacentral:rRNA from 1 species